rnacentral:piRNA from 1 species
GCACUGUGUUAUUUCUUGGUUUCUUUAAU